UCUCUCUCUCUCUCUCUCUCAAAUCCAAUCCUCAUCUUUGUCCCCAAGUCGGAAUCUGAGCAUCUCCUCUCUGCCGAUGCCGCGAUGCAAGAACCAUCGGAGAGGAGACAGAGUGGGGUGAUUCAGUCGAGUUCGACAGGGAUGGUGUGAAAGGCCUUUAUUUGGGCAGAAAUUCAACGACUUAGUAUUGAAUCUGGAGUGAGGAUGUCUGUGUUGCAGAGCCUUUGAUGGGAGAAAAAAUUCAAUGCCUUGGACUGAAUCUUGGUGAUUUUUUUUCCCUCUUUUAAUAAUUUUUAAUAUUUUAAUAUUUUCUCUUAAUUUCAUCACAGCAUCAGACCCACUGUGAUCCUUUCUCCAUCAAACCCAUGUAAUUUUCGUUUUAUGGAGGAUUUGUUUUCUUCCAUGUAUGAGGUUAUGGAUUUGUGCUUCAAAAUAAGGUGAAGUGUCUUGGGUUGCCAUUACCAUUUCAAAGACUGUAUUGCUAAAUCUAAAGGGGUAUACUCACUUGGACUUUUCAUGCAUACUUGGUGAGACUCUCACCUUCUUCUGAGAGCCUAAUAUUUAGGGGCUUACAUUUGUGUACUCUACAAGUUAUAAA